GAAAAGGGGGAGGCUGAGGAGUGGCUGAGAGAGAAGGGGGAAGCUGAUGGGGCGUGGAGGGCCCCGAAGGAUAUCGUGUAGCGGCCGGUUGUCCCUGGGUGCCCGCCAGCUCUUGGUAGGGCAGUGUCUCUCCGUGGCGGGAGCGAGGUGGGAGUUUGUUCCUGCGGCUCGCCCCCUUUGCGGGGCGCAGGGGGCCGUGCGCCCCUGGCAGCGGGGCCCUGAAGGCGAGCGGGCCGCGGCGGUGCGGGAGCGGUGCCCGCUGAGGUGGGUCCGUGGAAGGAGCUGGGGGGGUAGCGGCUGAGAGGGGCUGCUGGUCACGGUUGUGAGGGUAGGCGGCUGUGGUGCGUGUCGGGGCUGGGACUGUGCUAGGUCUGGAGGGGGAGGCUGCUGCGUGUCGUGCAGAAACCGGGCUGGCUCUGGUGGCCCAUGGGCUUGUGCCUUCCGGGAAGAGGCGCCCCGUGAGGGGGGCUGGAGCUGCUCAGGUGUUUGGACUUCGCCUGGGAUGAAGUACAGACUGUGGCUUAAAGAGCACGGCUGAGGCCUUGGCCUGGCCUUGAUGGGGGAGGCCCUCAGCAGGGAACCGGCUGGAACGUGCCCUUGUCGUACACCAGGUGACAGCCUGUGCUUGCUGAUUUGGGGCUCUUUCAAGGGUUGUGGCUUCUGUCUGAUAACUGCACUAAUAGUGUUCAGCUGUCAUAGAUCCCUGGCUUGGUGUGACCAGUAGGAGGAGCUUUGUUCUCUCCUAAAGGCAGCUGCCCUCAGUAUGCCUAUAGAGACAUAAAUCAACCUUGAAAGAGCAGAGAGAAUGUAUAAAACAUUGUAAGACCUCUCAGCAUGGUAUGGGGAGCAGCCAAGCUGCCUUGCUUCCCUGUUUUCUUACCUGUGCUUGCUGUCUAGCAUUGGCAUGGCUUAGCCAGCUGACUAGGCACGGUCUGGGUUUCAGUGUACCCUCUGGCUGCUGCGUAGGAGGUGGGCUAGAUUUUGAGCAGUGGAUUGUAGACUUUACUGUACUGAACAUGAUCCCUGCUUGUGCUAGUCUCUGUGUGGGGGAAUGGGAAGUGAUCCGUUUGCCAAAUGAGUGAUUACUUAAAUCUCUCUUAGGCUUAAGGGGACUGGAGGUCCCUGAAAUAACAUGUCGGAUCUUUGCUCAGAAUUGGAAGGGAGGAUACUGAAAGUAUUGCAUGGUUUGUGAAAUAACACCGUUUCUAGCUGAUUCCUGUGAAAUAAAGUACUCUAUUACUUCAGGAAGAUACUCCAUUGAAAAGAGCUGUGAAGAGUUUUGCGUGCUCACUGGAAGUCUUAGCUGAAGUCCAGUAGUGGUAUAGCUCAGGAAAAAUGGGGUUACACAUUUUUAUUUCAUAUUUUGGCUCCUCCUGGAGGUAAGUACAAUGCAUUUGCACAGGAUAUUGCCUCACGAUAACUACACAAAUAGAGUACUGUGUUUGCCUGAGGAUACACUUGAAUGGUGGAGGAAGGAUGUCAUGAGAUGUUUUAUGAUGCAGUUACUUACCCUGAACCUUGCAGCCUUUCAAGAUUUGUUGAUACUACAGCAGUGCGUGCCAUUCUUCUCUUUAAAUCCAGCUCCCUCCAGUUGAAGAAUCUGAACCAGUUGCUUGCCUUCCUGUAAAAUGCUCAGUGUCCUGGGACAGGAGGUGCUUCUCCCCACCCCCAGCUUGUCCAGUUUUGCCAUAUUCAUCACUGAAGAAAAGGGGUGGGAGGAGUGUAAUGCUAUAACUUUCAGUAGCAGUUGCAUACAUCUGAAGAAUUCUGAAUUACAAGUACAGCCGCCUUUAUUUCUUUUUCUACUUCUGAUUCUUCUCUACGCAGAUACCUUUAGAUUAGGUGUGCUGUGGGUGGAAAAAAGGGGCAGUGGCAUGAUGACUUCUGUCACAGCAGCUGCCCACUGUAGACUUUCAGCCUAUGCUUGUGUCUGUGCAGCUGAUACCAGGUAAUGAUGGUAAGUAUUGCAGUGGAGUAAUUGGGCGGAGGGGGCUUGCUUGUCUUUUUGAUAACUGGAAGAAAAUGUGUGCGAAAUCUUCAUCCAAGGUAGUCUGCAGACAGUGUGCUUUGUUACUUAAACUGGUUUAGAAACAAUUGGUUUCACCUGUAUUGAUUCCUUCUCUUCCUCCCCUUCCCCCUUGUGUCAGUGCUGCUCCUCUGAGGAGGAGACAAGGAUGCAUCCUGCUUUACAGAUAACUUUAUUUCAUUGUUUAUACCAUGUUUUUUUAUCUGAACAUGUAGAUGGCACUGAUGUCUCAGCUAAGAGUUGCUGUAGUAUGCUGAAAUAUAGGAAAAAAGGAAUUGACUUCACAAACCACCCAAAUGAAUGCCUGAUGCAAGAGACAAGUAAAAUAGUUUUCUGUGUGUGUAUAGUUCACUUUCAUCAGUUUGGGGGUGUUGAUACUCCUAUGUGUAUGGAUUUUACUCAUUGAUCACAACUUGUUGGAGAUAGUAAUGAUGAAACCUGUGUUGUGUGUCACAAACUUGGAUACUCCAUUCACUUGAAAGCGCUGAUGUCCAAGUCUCUUCUGACCCGACAGGUCUUAGUUGCAAGAUGCACAAGCAGCUUACAGUCCUAUUGCAGAAACAGGUGUUGUCUCAACAUGUCACGUGAAAAGGCACAAGGUGAUGACAAUUCAAAGCCUGCCUUUGGCAUUUCUGACAUGCGUGGGUAUACUCUGGUUUACUACUGUUAAUGGAAACUUAUUUCCACGUCUGUACGGUCCUGAGCCUAUGAAGCUGAUACAUUUGUGUGUACUUGAACUACUAUGCUGACAUCCUACACUGUGGAAAUUAUGGGUUGGCUUUGUUCCCGAAGUGCUUUUGGUCACUGUGGACUCAGGUAAGCAACUACCCAGUGUCCUGCAGACCAGGAGAAGCAGUUGGAAGACCCUGCAGGAGGGAUGUGGAAGACGAGGAUAAGUAGGAAUGUGUGAUGCCUUUGCUCAAAGAAGCAAUUGUUUACUCUAUGUUUGUAUGUAGAAACCUGGCUUUAUAUCUCAGCAUUCAUUCUGACAAGUUCUUGCUCUUAAUGAAAACUUCACAGAUUUGGAAGCUCUGAAUUGAGCCAUCACUGAAUAGUACAGCACCUCUACAGUCUGCAUGAGAAAUAUGUGAAUUUAUGAGAUGAAGUGUACAAAUAUGUUGUGUGAUAACAUGAUUUUUAAGGUGUCUGAUGUUCUGCUGUCAUGGUGCCAACAUCUGUGUCAGUGCAGCAUGGAUAAAUGGCAGGAUGCGCGGUUGUCUUGGUUUGUGCAAAUUGUCAGGCCUUACAUAAUUCCUGGUAUGCAAAUUAGCCGGAUGGAAAUUUUUAUUUGCACUCAGAGCGGAAUAUGGAUUCUAAGGGUGAUCGAUAGGAUCUCUGCUAGUCUUGGCACGUAAGUUUUGUUUAAAAUCCUGUUUUCUUAAUUAUCCCAGCUAUAAAACUUAGUUGUCCACAGCCCCCUUGGAGGAGGGAGGAUUGUUGAAGUGUCACUGACCAUCUGCUUACUUCAAAGCCUGUGGGGCAAGGGUGUGAAUUCUUUCACAUUAAAGGUGAUGUUCAGAUUCUGGAGGCUGAAGAAGCUGCUGUGUGAAGGUUUUUUGUUUGUAAUUGUCUCCUGUGGAGCUAUUUCCCAAAGAGUUUCCGGAGCUGCAAGGUGAGAGAGUGAGUUCAGCUGGGUAGAUUGGGUAAGUACUUGUAUAUCGUGGUAUUGUUUGCAGGUAUCUUAAUGGUAACAAUACAGAAGAACACAUUGCUUUGUCUGCUAUGUUCUUAAACAGGUAGAGCUUGGAAGAAACAGGUAAGAGUGAAGGCUUCUCUGCCUUUUUAAGAGUUCUCAAUGAAAUUGUGGGGAGACAGCUGUUAAACCAAUUUCUGGAAGAACCUAGUAUUCCUGGAUAGCCAAAAAAGUUUGUAAAGCUUCUCUGAAAAUAAUUGUAGUGACUAAUAAAGUGUUUACUUUUUUUAUUUUUCAGCACAAGAAGAGUGUUCCAAGAGCAGUCAAGAACCUCUUUAGGUAGCACGGACAUGUUCUGAAACAUGGCAGCAGUUCAGUAGCAGUUACACAACAGGAAAGGGUCUGGAGGUCCCUGGGUUUGUAAGAACUGGUUUCUGAAAGAACUCAUUUUACUAGAGAGAAAAACUUUCCUCCCCAACUUUUAACUCCCUUGAAUUUAAAUGAGACCUCAUCUGAUACUGAAACACGAAAGUACUUGUGCUGUAGAUCCUAGAGGAGGGGCUGGGAAUAGGGGAGUUAAAGUGGUGAUCGGGGCACUGUGAUGGGCCUUGGAGAAACCGCACAUAAUUUUGAGUACAAGAAACUCCAGUUGUGGGAAACUGCUUUUUGGGAACACACACUAGCAGUGGGGGAAACUCAGUAAACAGAGUAUGUUCUGCUGCUGUUUCUUAGCUAUGUAUGGAUGUAUCUGUUAAGGUGGGAUGACAUAAGGUGGCCACUGAAAACCGUAGGUUUGUGUGCAGACCGCGUUUGUCUUCAGAGCGUAUUUGCAACUACCAAGAACCUUCCUCAUCAAAUGGGAGUAUUCGGAUUCAAAAGUAAUACCUUUGCCUGGUGUAUCGAACUCCUGUGGAGCUAUCUGACUGAUUGCAGCCCUGUGCUGAACAUCACUGGCUUUCCCCACCUGUGGGUUGCUGAAAACUGGCACACACAAAACACAGGCAAUGGUGGUGCAGAUGUUGGCAUGUGCACUGCCCUCUUCAGCACAACGCUUGGUAAAGCCCUGUACUGCAGAAAGCAGGCAGGGGUAUAGCACUGAGGUGACAGUAGGUGUGGAGCGACCCCGGUUGCCGCUAAUCGUGGGCAGGUCUGUUUUUGUGGUGCAGUGGUAAACCUGAGCUGGUAAUUGAUACUGUGCAGCUGAUGGCGUGCCAGACAAGUAGUCCAUGAGCUGGCAAAUCCUCAAGCAUGCUACUAGCUUUUAGUCCUUUAAAAAAAAAAGAGGGUGGAGGCAGCAAGGAUUUUUUUUUUUUGAAGGGUCACAGAAACUCUACUGAAAUUAAAAGCCCACUAAAAUAUCUUUGGGGAAAGAAUACAUUUUGGGAAAUAGGCUGUGACAAAGGCGAUGUGAGCCUUCAGUUAUGGCGAUCUUCAGCACUGUUCUGUCCCUCGUUUUGUUUUUGAGGUUUGUAGCAAAAAGUUGAAUGGAGGGAGAACGUGAAAGCCAUAACUACAUGUAAAUGUUUAAUGUUAACAGCUGGAAUUUUGUGUUAAGUUAUGUACCAUUAUUUAUUUUUGAAAAGUCCUGCAACUAAAAUGAUAACACAUGGUUACGCAUGCUAGUGUUCUCAGGUUCUCCAGCUAUUGGAUGCAGUGGUGCAAAAUGCUAUGUUGCUUUCUAUAUGAUUCGGCUUGAAAAUACAAGCGUUGGCAGUGUGGCUACCUAAACGGUAUUACAGUUGAAGCAUUUCGUAAUGCACGCAAACCAUUUCCUUUUGGGUAAGUAACGCUGCACUGUGAAAAAGCAUACAGCUUUGGGGAGACCAUCAUUUGAUAGCAUCUCCUGUGUCAGCGUUCCCUGGCUUUGCUCCUCUUCCUUGCCUUGGACUCUGCUGUUUACCCAAACUUUUAGCCUUUCUGUACAUGAUUGCUGGUUGGCUCUUUUCCACCACCUGAUCAUUUUUUGGUUUUUUGCUGUUUCUCUGCAAAUACCUCUUCGUGGAAAACUCUGAACAACAGUAAGUAUCUCAGGUUCCUGGCCAAGUUUCCACUCACAUGAUUUCACUUGCUCCAUUCUGUCAAGUUAUUUACAUGCAGCGUCCUAAGGAUGUAAUUUAGUGGACUGCUAGUAAGCAGCUGACCUUUAUGUCUUGGCCCCAGUCCACACAGGUCAGGUUUACACAGGGCUGUUUCCUCACGAUGAAUUCAGUGGCUACUCUUACAGCCCUUCGUUUCCUGUUGCACGACUUUACGAAAAAGAUCGUGUCAUGCUGCUGUCACAGAGGCUUAAAGGACACAUUAGGAUUGAGCACUUUACCUACUGAAUUGCGUGACCCCACAUCUCUUCUGCUCCUUGCUCUUCUGCACGCACAAGACCUAGGGCACUCAAGGUGAAGAGGAGAUGGUUUUUGUGGUUUUGUAGGUUCAAUGUGGUGCAAUAUAGGAGAGGUUUUCAAAACCAGCAUAGAGGUUUAAGCUAAACUAGCUUGCUCAAAGCAGAGCUAUUGUCUUGUUCUCGGGUUCUGGAUUCAUGUGUAUCAGAGUUGUUUUGUACCCAGUAGAGCCGUUAUGGGCAUGCAUUCCCAGGAGGUGUAUUGCCUCAGCUCUCUGAGCUCUCAGAUAAUGCAAACGCAUGAUGCAGAGGCUGUGGUGGCGUUGCUGGUUUAUGGAGAUUGGUGGUGUCUUUUCCCCCUUGCCCCCGUGCCACAGUACGCCAUUCACUCUUGUAGUUGCCAACGCAACUACCUGGAGCAGCGUAGUGAGCUAUCAGUGUCUUCAUCAGGGUAUUAGGCACGCUCCCAGCCCUGUGCGUGCUCUUCUGUGACUCAGAGUGGAAGCGAAGGUGGUUUGUAGUUGUGCGGCUUUCUAAAAGCAGGAUCAGGUCAGUGAGCUGGUUUAGAGCAUUUGCAACGUGGCACUAAAAAUAGGUGGCCAGGUGCACAGCAGUAGUCAAGUUCUUGGGCUUGUCACCAAAGCCUCUGUCUCAUUAAGUUGUGUGUCUAAGGAUGCAGUUUAUUUUGGGGGAGAGGAGCAGCAGCAGUGUGUCCCUUGUGCACACGAAUGCUUUUGCUAACUGUAUUCUUCUGCUUUAGGUCUCAUGACCCAGCCAGAUGUUUUGGUGCGCAUAGCUGCCUGACCAGGCAGUGGCAGCUCGAGAAGCCUUGAUGUCUGUAAGCAGCACUGGUGAUUGCUAGGUGUAGUCCAGACAAAUCCCAGCGGGAGAAGGGUGCUGGAGUAAGAUGUGGAGCAGUUUUCCCCUAAGUUUUUUUUGACUGUUGCAGACAGUACCAGUUAUUUGGCUGUGGAUUAACCUUGUCGUGAGUACCGAGGCACGUACCAGCUUCCAUGGCCAAGCACGUCACGUGUGGGGUCCUGCAAGUUUCUGCCAACACGUAGGCGGAGCGGCUCUCCAGGAUGGGGUAAGGUUGGUGCUGUUCACGCUGAGUGGCAUUGCAGCCUCAUUCACGUGGGUCUGAUGGCAUCUCAAAUAUCCCAGCCUUUUGCUACAGUCACUUCUCCAUUAUCUGAAGGUAAAUUGAGGUAUAGGUCCUUGGUUUGGAAUAUGCCUGCCUCCCUGUACUGUUCAGUCAUGCUCUCUGGUGCAGGUGGAUCUGCUCCUCGGGUACAGUUGAUUGGUCAGUCUUGUUCCUCCCAAAGGAAACGCGCACCAGAACUUCCCCUGUGCUGUGGUAGUGCUUUCUGUGCAUGGCCUCCAGCUCUUAUGCCACAGAAAAAGAGGAAAGAAGAUGGAACAAGCAAAAUGACAUCAAUGGGGUAAAAGAUCCAACAAUUUUCCAGAUUUGAAAUGCAGUGCCUUGGCGUUAUGACAAUUUACAAUUGCUUUGUCAAGACAGAAUUUUGCAAAAUCUUUGAUGAGGAAAAUACGGAUGCGAUGUGAUGUUUUUUCUUGUGGAACGUUUUCGUGGCUAGACUCAGCUUUCCCAGUGGGAUCUUAUUUUCUUAGAGCAGAGAUUUGUCACCACUUACUUGAUUUGGAUGAACUUUCUGCCAGAAUCAACAAGGAAGGAAUUGAUAGGGCGGACUUUAGCAAACAGGGAAAUUGUGACAUAUUUGAAGAGAAUGCACACUCGGAGGAAGGGCUACUUCUGUUUCAAAAAGCAGCUUCUGAUCAGCAAAGCAGGGUCUGCCCUUCCCUGCAGAUGUCUUGUCUCUGCCUUGCAGCAGUGCUAAGAAGAUGUUUUGUCUUGUGAGAAGCCAAGGGAAAGAGAUUUACUAUGGUAAGAAUAUCUCUGCACAUGCUAGUUCAACUCAAUAAAAUGACAAGUUUAAAUAAGACAAGCAUUAACACCAGCUGGGACUGUAGUGAUUAGAAGUCUGCAGUUAUUACAGGGUCUGUUUUUCAAAUGAAUCAACAUAUGCUGCAGCUUCUAAGAUGAAGGAAGUGCGUAUCGGUACAAUGGCACAUGAAAAUACCACUCACUGCCCUUCUGCUGACUGGUUGUGUGUGGCUUGGGCCAGACACGUCAGUCUUCCAAGACAAAUCAAUGGUGUAAAAACCUGAGUGUAUGAAAAAAGCCUUUUUUUUUUUUAAUACGCAGAGAUCAAUCUUCAAGCAGUGGACAUGCUAAGCACUGCACAGAGCAAUUGUAUCUUUCAGAAAUCUAACUGAACACAAGAAGCCAGGAGUCCAAGAACUGACUUAAAGCAGUGAUGAUGCCAUUUAUCUCCUCCUCACUCUUCCCUGAAACACUGCAACCAAAAUUAGUAGCGCACCAUGUCCUCCCGAGCCUGAAUAUUCACUCACACAUGAAGAGAAGAACAUGGGAGGUUUUUAAAAGCUCCUUGAUAAUUGGAACAAGAAAACUUUGUUUAGCUACGAGUGGAAUAUCCUCUUAUAAAAUGCCAAACAGCUAAUAAGAUGAGCUAUGAGCUCUUAUUAUUUCUUCUGUUCCUUCACAGUAAAAAUCCGGAGGUCUUUAAAAAUGCUGAGAUCAUGACAGUGAUUGACAAGAAAAGAAGGGACGUAAGGAGUUACUGUGCUGAAGAAAUUUUAAUUAUUUUUAUAAAAUAAAAUUGAUACUGAUGUAGGUCUUGCAUUUGCAAUUUCAGCUAGAAGCUGAGGUUAAGUUUUCUCAAGCAAGACCUUUGCACACUCUGCCUUUCACCUUUAUGGAAGAACACCUUAUUUGGUAAAAUCCCAGAGUGACUUUAAGGAGAGAGAUCCUAAGAAAUCAAACAGCUGCUUGAACUUUUUAUUUUUUUCUCAGUGAAAGCAGGUCUUAUUUUUAGUGCGUGUGCGCUGCAUGCGUGAGGCUGCUUCCAUCAUUUUUAUUACAGGAUCUGUGUACCAGUUGGUCCCCAAGCAUACGGGUUUGGUUCCAGUUAGGUGUGGGCAUGCAACCACAUCUCCAUUAAUUUUAUUCAGUAUCUGUGGUAUGGAGUUCAUACAAAUUUUGUAACAGCUGGUAACUGGUAUCUGGUCUGACAUAAAGCGACAACGGCACAGACAGACAGUAGCUGUAAUUAAGUUUGUCAGUACAAAAUUAACAAAACUUUUAAAGAAAUUUUAACUGACAGCAUGAGCAAAAGCUGGAUCUGCACCUUGGAUGGUGGGUUAUCUGGUGGGAUAGUGAGGACCCUAAUGUUGGAUUUAUUGUGUCAUUAAGCCACAGUCAGGAGGAGGGUGAGCUGUAUCCUUUAGGGUUGCUAAAAAUGGAAAGCACUCUGUCACUGGCAUGUUCUUCUCUGAAAAAGCUAGUGCUAUUUGAAAACUGCGGCUGGAGAUUAUUCAACUGUCAUCUAUCUACAUGUUAGAUCUUUGUAAAGGUUCUGUGUUAUUGCAUGGUGAUGGCAAAGAACAACAUCAAACUGCUAACAUGUAUUAACAAGGAGAUUUAAAGAAGACGGGGCACAGGCAUUUGUGUAACUGCUUUGUUGAGCUGAGCACAGGUACAGUUCUUGUCUGUUUGGAUCAUUUAAUUGGCCAAAGACCAAAAUAUACACCUAAUAUUCAACAGCCACCUAUGCCCAGUAAUGACAGGGUCCUCCAGUGACGUUAACUAUGUCAAUAAACUAUUGGCUAAAUAGUAGCUGAGUUUCUCUGGUUAAAAGAAAACUAGACCUUCGUUAGAUUCUAAGAUAAGGUUAAAAAAAUUAUUUCUUUCAUUAUGUGAUCUGGUUAUUUGCUGUGUUAACAUGGUGACUGGAUAAAUUGAAUCUGCUAAUUGAUUGACUUAACUGAAAUUGCAGCCUAAAUCUUAUAAAAUGUAGAGCAUCGCUUUGUUUUUAAUGAGUUUGGUGAAAUUGUAAGUAAAUCAGGUAAGUGAUGUGGUUUGUGAGCUUCAUGUUUGUGCAUUCGCCCUUUCUAAGCAGGCCAUCCAUGGGACAAAAGAUCUGUUUACUUCAUCAGACUGCAACCUGGGUCACAAACUCUGAAGGCACACAGAAGCUCUGGUGUGAAGUCACCAGCCUCUUGCCUCUCCAAAGCGACUACCUACAUCCUUACAUUACACAGGCUGUACAUCCCUGAUACACAGCCAGUUGGAAACCAGACGCAGUAGGCAAUCAUGCAGAGCAUCUCACCGACCGCUGCACGGCCACACAGCCACAGCCACUGGGCCCCCUCUUUCAGCCUGCAGGGGUAGCAGCCCUUCUCUUUAUUUUUACUAUGUAUCGUGUUCCCUGGAACGUGGUAUAUAAUAAAACACACAGGGUGGUGUUUGGCAGCAGGGAGGAAGGCUGCCUCUGUCUUCUCUUGGGUGCUGCGGCCAUGGUUGGACAUGUGGAAGGGGGAGAGAUGCUUUGGCGCAGUUAAGCACAAUGAGUUGGGUGAACCACUUGAAGAACAGGAUGGGACAAAGAAGCAUUUGAAAGAAAGGACCUGGUGAAACUUUCUGUUCUGCUUCACUUGAAGUGUUCUCUAUUUUUUUUUAAAGUAUUCCUUUAUGUUUUAACAAAAUCUGAUUUCUGAAGUUAAGAGCUUUGUGUUUUCGGACGCUGGUUUCAAGGGGAAACUGGAGGUAGGUCUGCCUCAAAGAUCUGCUGACUCCACCAGGGUGCUAAUAUCAUUAUAUGUGUUUAUUGUCUCCAAAACGAGGAGGUGCCUGCCUUUAGGUGUCUUGCAGGAUUAUAACGUGAAUUUCUUAGUUAAUUGCCAAAACCCGUGUUCCCCGCCCUGUCUUUAGUGUACUGAUUUGCACACUUCCAAGGGAAGAGUAACUUGCAGAACACGGUGAUUUGAAUUUAAACCCAUUGCUAAACUUUGGCCUGGAAGCAUCGAGUUGUUCUGAUCAUUCACAUUUACACAGGCUGAGUACAGAGGUAAAGAGCAAUAAAAGGGCAAGGCAAAGGAGAAAGACUCAUAAAGCAUCUCAUGAGAGCUAACUUGGACUAUAUUAAUCAGCCUGAUCUUUGCCCUUUUAAAUGCUUUUGUCUUUGCAGUUUGCAGCAUGGGGGCCUUUCUAACAGAUGCAGAGCUUGAACAAAGCAUAUUUGUGCCCUUCUACUUAUUUAUGUGCUAGCGUAAUUUUUGCAGUGUUUCACAUAGUGUGAGUGAAACAAACCUGUGUCCUUCCUUAUUCCUGUGAUGGAAUUAACCAGGGGGAAGGAACAAAAGGAGAAGCCAGAAUUUCUGCUAACAGGAAGAAAAAGCAGAUAGAAUUUAAAAAGAUUUUAUCUGAGCAACAUACUAAUGUGCCUACUCACUGCUGAGCUCUGCUGCAGUUCGCCGUCUUGUCAGGGUGUGUAUAUUCUGGUUAUAGAAUCAGGGAGUGGUUUGGGUUGGAAGGGACCUCAAAGAUCAUCUAGUUCCAAGCCCCCUGCCACGGGCAGGGACACCCUCCGCUAGGCCAGGUUGCCCAAGGCCCCAUCCAACCUGGCCUUCAACACUUCCAGGGAUGGGGCAUCCACAGCUUCUCUGGGCAACCUGUUCCAGUGCCUCACCACCCUCACAGGGAAGAAUUUCUUCCUAAUACCUAACCUAAAUCGACCCUCUUUUAGUUUAAGUCCAUUACCCCUUGUCCUGCCCCUACAUGUAUUAACUUGGUGACUGAAUAAUUUCAAUCUGCUAAUUUCUUGAUUUAACUGAAAUUGCAGCCUAAAUCAUAUAAAAAAAGAACCUCUCUCUCUAUAUAGAUUAUGGAGGGUCAGUUUUAUUAUGGGGCUAGAUUCCAUUUCCUUUUGCAGCCCUGAAGUGGUUAAUUAGACACAAAUACACGACUUUCACCCUUUGUUUACAUAUGUUUAAAAUCAUGCCAAGCUACCCAAACAUGGUAUUGUCUCAUAUAAACCCAACUCAAAGCAAGAACUGAUCAUGACCAGGCUAGUAACCUGUCUCAAUCCCACUUGGCAAAUCUCCAAAUGCUGAUUCUCACAGUAUAUCCCAAUAUACCAGCUGCUCCCGAUGUAAAGGGAACAGUUUGGUAAUUUGUUAUGGAUUGUUUAUGAUUGACAAUAUUUACUGUAAGUACUUUUUGGACAAAGACAGUGCUGCAAACAGGGACAUUAGGCAGCUGUAUGUUCCUACAGCAUGCAGAUAAACUGUAGUUGGAGUUUUUUCCCUGCUAGCAACUCAGGCAAAUGGAUUGUAAAAGCACUUGGGAAUUAGCCCAGGCCUUUUAUGAUGGUCUUGAAGAAGAACAUGAUGAGUACUUCUUUAAACAUCCCCGCUUAGGUCAGCCGGUGAAUUGUUUUACUGUAGUGUCUUUGGAGUCCUUAAAAAGAUUAUGUUUCAGUUUGGCAUUACUGGGGCUCAGCUGGAAAGGCUGAGCUUUAGGCAGCCCCGGGAUGUGAAGAAGUCAUUGUGCUUUUAUCGUUUUGUCUGGCAGCCGUGGAGAGCGGGCUGUCAGGCAUAGAUCUGCUGCAGGGCCCCUCUUUCAAGGCCAUACUCUCUGUCCCCUCUGUGUCCCCUACACCCACAUGCCACCAUUGCACUAACGUGAUGAGUGGGGUUUACUCGGAACGUGCAUAAAGGAAGUGCCGGUUCACCUGGCCCUUGUGCAGGAGCCCUCAGGCAGGGUCUGGGAGGGGCAUGGCUUCACAUGCCCCAUCCUACCCGCCCCCAGGCACUUUCCACCUCAAAACCUUUGCAGCAUAGCCAGAGGAGCUUUCCUUUUCAUAUAUGGAAACAAUUACUGUGCUACAACCAAAAUAGGAUAGUUUUUCCAAGAACCGUGAAUGGUGGCAUGUGUAUGCAACUACAAAGCUUUGGGGAUCCUCUGGAGAUGGAUGGAGGCAGAGCGUUCCAGCUUGGAAAUCCUCAAGAGCAGCAUAAAAGACGUAUAAUCAUGUCCUUCUGCUUGUUCUGGCCCUGUAUGAGAUGAAGCUAUGUGUCAUAUGCUUAAUAUUAAAUGGACUAAACAGGUCACUUGGUUUCUCUUUAAUUCUUUUAAUCUUCUUAGAAGAUG